rnacentral:tRNA from 1 species
GCUCCCGUAGUGUAGUUCGGUCAAGCACGUGAGCUUCUCGAGCUCGAAACCCGGGUCCAAAUCCCGGCGGGAGCA